UAGCUAGUUGGUGAGGUAAAGGCUUACCAAGGCGACGAUCUGUAGCGGGUCUGAGAGGAUGAUCCGCCACACUGGAACUGAGACACGGUCCAGACUCCUACGGGAGGCAGCAGUGGGGAAUUUUGGACAAUGGGGGCAACCCUGAUCCAGCCAUGCCGCGUGAGUGAAGAAGGCCUUCGGGUUGUAAAGCUCUUUCGGCCGGGAAGAAAUCGCAUGGGCCAAUACCCUGUGUGGAUGACGGUACCGGAAUAAGAAGCACCGGCUAACUACGUGCCAGCAGCCGCGGUAAUACGUAGGGUGCGAGCGUUAAUCGGAAUUACUGGGCGUAAAGCGUGCGCAGGCGGUUUUGUAAGACAGGCGUGAAAUCCCCGGGCUUAACCUGGGAACUGCGUUUGUGACUGCAAGGCUAGAGUACGGCAGAGGGGGGUGGAAUUCCACGUGUAGCAGUGAAAAUGCGUAGAGAUGUGGAGGAACACCAAUGGCGAAGGCAGCCCCCUGGGUCGAUACUGACGCUCAUGCACGAAAGCGUGGGUAGCAAACAAGAUUAGAUACCCUGGUAGUCCACGCCCUAAACUAUGUCAACUAGGUGUUGGGUGGGUAAAACCAUUUAGUACCGUAGCUAACGCGUGAAGUUGACCGCCUGGGGAGUACGGCCGCAAGGUUAAAACUCAAAGGAAUUGACGGGGACCCGCACAAGCGGUGGAUGAUGUGGAUUAAUUCGAUGCAACGCGAAAAACCUUACCUACCCUUGACAUGCCAGGAACUUGCCAGAGAUGGCUUGGUGCCCGAAAGGGAGCCUGGACACAGGUGCUGCAUGGCUGUCGUCAGCUCGUGUCGUGAGAUGUUGGGUUAAGUCCCGCAACGAGCGCAACCCUUGUCGUUAAUUGCCAUCAUUUAGUUGGGCACUUUAACGAGACUGCCGGUGACAAACCGGAGGAAGGUGGGGAUGACGUCAAGUCCUCAUGGCCCUUAUGGGUAGGGCUUCACACGUCAUACAAUGGUCGGUACAAAGGGUUGCCAAGCCGCGAGGCGGAGCCAAUCCCAGAAAGCCGAUCGUAGUCCGGAUUGCAGGCUGCAACUCGCCUGCAUGAAGUCGGAAUCGCUAGUAAUCGUGGAUCAGCAUGUCACGGUGAAUACGUUCCCGGGUCUUGUACACACCGCCCGUCACACCAUGGGAGCGGGUUCCGCCAGAAGUAGGUAGCCUAACCGCAAGGGGGGCGCUUACCACGGCGGGGUUCGUGACUGGGGUGAAGUCGUAACAAGGUAGCCGUAGGGGAACCUGCGGCUG
rnacentral:rRNA from 1 species